rnacentral:rRNA from 1 species
GUUUGAUCCUGGCUCAGAGUGAACGCUGGCGGCGUGGUUUAGGCAUGCAAGUCGAACGAUACCGCAAGGUAUAGUGGCAAAAGGGUGCGUAACGCGUGAGCAAUCUACCUUUGAGUGGGGAAUAACCUUGGGAAACCGAGGCUAAAACCGCAUAUGACCAAGGCUCGGCAUCGAGCUGAGGUAAAAGACGGGGACCGUAAGGCCUGUCGCUUGAAGAUGAGCUCGCGUCCUAUCAGCUUGUUGGCGGGGUAACGGCCCACCAAGGCUUUUGACGGGUAGCUGGUCUGAGAGGAUGGUCAGCCACAUUGGGACUGAGACACUGCCCAGACUCCUACGGGAGGCUGCAGUCGAGAAUCUUUUGCAAUGCCCGAAAGGGUGACAAUGCGACGCCGCGUGUGCGAUGAAGGUCUUCGGAUUGUAAAGCACUGUCAGCCGGGAGGAAGUCCCACACCUUUAACAAAGGUGCGGGAUUGACAGUACCGGCAGAGGAAGCCACGGCUAACUCCGUGCCAGCAGCCGCGGUAAUACGGAGGUGGCAAGCGUUACUCGGAUUGAUUGGGUGUAAAGGGCGUGUAGGUGGUGAAUUAAGUCGAGUGUGAAAUCCCUUGGCUCAACCAAGGAACUGCAUUCGAAACUGAUUUGCUUGAGUGAUAGAGAGGUAAGCGGAAUUCCCGGUGUAACAGUGAAAUGUGUAGAUAUCGGGAGGAACACCAGUGGCGAAGGCGGCUUACUGGCUAUUUACUGACACUGAAACGCGAGAGCUAGGGGAGCAAACAGGAUUAGAUACCCUGGUAGUCC